rnacentral:rRNA from 1 species
GCCUGGGAAACCGGGUCUAAUACCGGUAUGACCUGUUACCGCAUGGUGGCGGGUGGAAAGAUUAUUGGUUUUGGAUGGACUCGCGGCCUAUCAGCUUGUUGGUGGGGUAAUGGCCUACCAAGGCGACGACGGGUAGCCGGCCUGAGAGGGUGACCGGCCACACUGGGACUGAGACACGGCCCAGACUCCUACGGGAGGCAGCAGUGGGGAAUAUUGCACAAUGGGCGCAAGCCUGAUGCAGCGACGCCGCGUGAGGGAUGACGGCCUUCGGGUUGUAAACCUCUUUCAGCAGGGAAGAAGCGGAAGUGACGGUACCUGCAGAAGAAGCGCCGGCUAACUACGUGCCAGCAGCCGCGGUAAUA